GACGAACGCUGGCGGCGUGCUUAACACAUGCAAGUCGAACGGAAAGGCCCUGCUUUUGUGGGGUGCUCGAGUGGCGAACGGGUGAGUAACACGUGAGUAACCUGCCCUUGACUUUGGGAUAACUUCAGGAAACUGGGGCUAAUACCGGAUAGGAGCUCCUGCUGCAUGGUGGGGGUUGGAAAGUUUCGGCGGUUGGGGAUGGACUCGCGGCUUAUCAGCUUGUUGGUGGGGUAGUGGCUUACCAAGGCUUUGACGGGUAGCCGGCCUGAGAGGGUGACCGGCCACCUUGGGACUGGGGUACGGCCCCGACUCCUACGGGAGGCAAGAGUGGGGAAUAUUGCACAAUGGGCGGAAGCCUGAUGCAGCAACGCCGCGUGCGGGAUGACGGCCUUCGGGUUGUAAACCGCUUUCGCCUGUGACGAAGCGUGAGUGACGGUAAUGGGUAAAGAAGCACCGGCUAACUACGUG
rnacentral:rRNA from 1 species